rfam:Salmo salar isolate Sally breed double haploid chromosome ssa09, whole genome shotgun sequence.
UGGCUCAGUUGGUAGAGCAUGGUGUUUGCAAUGCCAGGGUUGUGGGUUUGAUUCCCAU